rnacentral:tRNA from 1 species
GUGGUGGCUCAGUGGUAGAGUGCUCACCUACCACACGCGAGGCCCUGGGUUCAAUCCUCAGCAACACA